UUUUUCUUGAACCAUCCCUACCUAACCAGAAGCAAAUAGAUAGUUUAGUGAUCCUGAAACAACUGAGAAGUUUUAUUACUGUUCUGAUGCCAUCAGCUGUUCACAGGAUACCUUUAGAACUGGAUGUUACUGUUGUAUAGAGGAGUUUGGAUCUGAGCCACAAUCACAUUUCUGCAGACAAAAUAAGAACAAGCAGCCUCACAAUGCAUAUAAGCUACCAGCCAAGAUGAGGAAAAAGCAGAGUGGUCAUGGCCACACACAGUAUUGGUCCGGGAACUUUUUGAGCACCCUAGCCUGUGCUACGAUCUAUUGAGAGCCACACAUUGCAAACAACUAAAGUUGUAAUCUAUAAAACUCUGGUUUUAUAUUAAAGGGUAAUUUUCCAGUGUGCAUAAGGGACAUAAUGGAACAUCUGCUGUAGACAGAACAGACUUCCCAUGCUGCUGAACUCUGUACAGGUACAGAACUCCUUCAGCUGUGACCUUCUAAGUCUACUACCAAAUGUUUGAGCACUAAGUAGAAGAUAAAACAGGGACAAAGUCAAUGCAGUUGACUAUAUUUAAACAAGAUUCAUUACCUUCUGAAUAAAUAUGCUUUUCAGAACGAAA